AAAAAGUCAGCCUUACUUUUAAUUCUGUCAGUCUAUUUUAUGUUUUAUUCUUUGACAGUAACAUAAACAUAGCCAGUUAGUUACUGUUUGGUGUUAGCCACGAGUCGCUAGCAUGAAUGCUAACGUUUCCCACACUGUUAGCUAGCAGCUAGCUAGCUAGCAGCUAGCAUGCUCCCCUUUGGCUGCAGAGUGGACACAACUUUGGCUCUCUCUUUUAAACCAGACCAGGAAAAUGAAUUUCUAAGCCACCAGAUCCAGCUAGGUUAGGUUAGCUAUCUCUGUCUUUCAUGUAAUUUUUGAUCAACUAUACAAUGUGAUGCUCCACUGAUCUGUUAUCACAUCUCCACAUGUACUUGUCUGCAUUUGAGCAUUUAGGUAAUGCCAAGUUUUAAAAAAGGUCUGUAGGAUGUGUCAUGUUGCUUUUCUCUCCACUUAGGAAAGGUAAAUUUGGGUGUCAUGCAAACGGCUGCAAAAAUUAGAUUUAAAUGUGUAUUGAACUAAAUAGCUGUUUUAAGUGGAACCCUCUGUUUUGCUUAAUAAUUUGUUUCCUGUUUUUGUUUGUAUGUUUUUUGAUUAAUGUGACAGAGUUCCACAUUAAGUUUAAGGGAUCUUUGCCUGCCACACCUAAUAUACUCUUUCUUUUUCAUUUCAUUGUAGACGCUUUCUUGGUAUUCAACCCUGAGAGGGGAACAAAGGCCAGUCAGGAGAAGGUGAUGUUCGAGAGGUCUGGGAAGCUGUUCCAGAAAAAGGCACCUACUUUCCGGAAAAAUGGAAACCAAACUCAGUGUACCUGAACUAGAACAUGCAGAAUGAGAACCUGUUCAGCAUGAGGAAAUGAUUGUAUGUUACUAAAAUUUAAUGGGUUAAAUAGGUCAGUUCUUGAACUAUGUUUGAUACAGAGUUGGCUUUAAUAAAAGCUUAAUGUUGAAAAGUCA